GGGUAGAGGAAAUGUCCUCCUCCCCUACAGUUUGGCAACUUGGAUGGGAUAAAAUUUCACUGGCUGGACACUGCUCACUCCUGGACUGCUGCAGGCAAGAGAUCCCAGACCCCUGACAAGAGCCGGCAAGAGAUGUAAGUUAGAUGCUACUUGCCCAGUUUGAUUCACAUACAAGCAACAUUUUUCACCGAUGAUUGCACAGGCUCCUCGUUGCUGGGCAGUCAGUGUAUCCAGAGCACGUCGAUUUAUGAGGACCACAGAGGCUCGGCUGCUCGUCUGUGACUGGAGUAUUCUCAAAGUCUGCAUGGUGGUGUUGAACUCUUGCUCCAUCACCAUGGAGAGAUUUAAGAUCGCCUUUUCCAACUCGUAGUCUCCGAAGCUGGGGAAUAAGACUCUCGAUGCUGACAAGAACUUGGAGUUGUGAUACACAAGCGGAUUCUCCACCAUUUCCCGAUGGGCACGCUUAUGUGGCACAAUCUUAUGAACAAAGGAACCCAGACCUUGAUGUACACCCGAUCUCCUCGUUGAAAGGGACGGCAAGGCUUGUCAGAAGAUGGAGGCCAUGCAUCUUUUACCUGCAGACGAUAUGCUUCAAGUAUGCCAGUUAAUUUCUGUAUAUAGCUAGUCUUGGCAUCAAAUUGUUCACUUAAAUUCCCAUAAUAUUCACUUAAUCAGGGAAUCAAAGGUUUAGAUAUGCCAGUAGGCAUCAGGCGUCCAAAGACUAUUUCAAAAGGAGUCAAUCCAUGUCUCCUAUUUGGAGUAUUUUGAAUCUUUACAAGGGCCAAGCGCAGAGCUUCUGGCCGUUUAAGUCCAGUUUCUUGACAGACCUUUCCUAAAGUCCUUUUCAUGUCUAGAUUUUUAGGUUCCACUUGCCCUGAAGACUGGGGGUGAUAUGGGGUAUGAAAUUUUAAUGAGUCCCCCAGAGUUUUUGCAAGCAAGUGGUUUAUCUCUGCUGUAAAAUGAGUUCCUUGGUCUGAUUCAAUCCAUAAAGGGAUGCCAAAACGAGGAGUAACUUCAGUUAUUAAUUUCUUUCCCACGGUUGUGGCAUCUGUAUGUCCAGAUAGCAUUCAGUCCAUCCACUAAACAUGCAGAUGAUAUCCAAACAGUGAGAGUUUAUGGCCCUGAGGUCUUGUACAAAUCUGUACAUUUGGUUCCCAUCUGAGUCAAAUUUGCCUUCUUUUUUUACUGGGUGAGGAAGUAAAAACUAGUCCACCCCGUUGCAAAAGAGAGUCUAUUAUGGGUUCAAUUCUUCGCUCUGCAUCUCCGGAGAGCAGGUAUUGGUCUACUGAUGGAAAUGGUUCAUUCUUCUUCCAAGUAAUGUGCACGGGUUCUGCACUAAGCAACAAUCCUACCUCAUUUGCAUGUGUAGCCCAAAGACUAAUUGAGAAAUCUUUUAAAGACUCAUCCUCUUCAGAAGAAUUUAAAUAAGGACGAGUUUCUAGCAAGGUAAGCAGGAGACUUGGGGUUUGGUCAGAGAGCAAGGAGAUAAGAACACCUUUUUCAUUACAAUUUGUAGUGGCAUUAAAUUUACAUAACAAAUCUCUGCCAAAGAGGUUUGCUCAAGAACAGAGACCAGAAAGGCAUGAUGAGUGUUCAGGGGGCCUAAAGAUACCGGAGUGGGCUGGGAUAUGGGCAGUGAAAUAGGCUGCCCAGAGACUCCCACAACUUGAAUAGACUCAGAGGUGACAGGUAGAGAUAAAUCCCCCGAAUGGAUAGUGGAGAAAGCCGCACCAGUAUCACCUAAAAAAUCCAGUUCCCAAUCCUCUAUUCUAAGUUUAACAGUAGGCUCGGGGGUACAACUGAGGAUUGGCUGGUCCCAUCAUUUUAGGGAGAAAUGCCCCUCAGGAGGAGAAAAACGAGUCUUCUGGGGGUUCUGGGGCCAAGUGGGGAUAUUUUUCAAACUUUUCCUUCUCUUAAGAGCAGGACAUUCUCUUUUCCAAUGCCCUGGUUUCUUGCAAUACCUGCAAUUGUCUGGGGGCCAAUAGGGAGGCCUCUGAGUGGGCUUUAGUUGACUUUCAGAGUUGCCUUUUUGCUUCUCAAAGAUUCAACUUGUAGAGCAAGAAGAAUUGUCUUUAAUUCUCUUUUUCCUUUACUUUCCUGCUGACUAUUUUCAAAGAACCCCAUGACAAACAGAAAUGGCGAGCAAUAGGAUAUCUUGGAGCAUAUGAGGAAGCCAUUUGGUGUAAACCUAAUUCAGCCUGACUUUGUUUUUCCAAAAGGG